rnacentral:lncRNA from 1 species
CCACCCUAGCUAAUAGCCGUACGUUACCAGAGAUGCUGAGAGCAAGGAGCAGCGUGCAGCCGCCAACCGCGAGGAUCGCAGCCGAGGGGUCGGCAAUUUCUCGCCGAUGACUCGGCACCGCCGCAGAUCCAUUAUUGCCCGUCGUGGCCCAUGGCACCGACACCUCCAUUACAAGGAAGAGCUCCUCCAUGUGAUUCCCCUCGGUCCCUACACCGCGUUGCACCUAUUGGGUAUGUAUUUUGAUGCGGGGGCGUCAAUUUGCUCAUCGUCAGUGAGGGAGCGUCGCCGCCUCGCUACGGUCCUACGGACGUCGCUGGUGUUGGUCAGCUGGGAGGAAGAACCGCUUCUGACCACCCGAUCCGCGUCGUAUGGUGUGGAUUAAAAACGGAGGAUGCCACUUCACAGGUAUGAUUUGGGUCAUGGAUCUCUGAUCCAACGGCUACGUCUCCGUACCGCUUCGUUGAGGAACGUCUUUAAAUCUGAAUCGUACAUCUUUGAUCCCACGGCCACCGUUAGGGACCGGCUCGAUUCUAAUCAGUGCGGUACGUUUCUGAUCCAACGGUCCACAGUCGAAGAUACCCCUUCAGCCAGCGCGUUUUGCAAAAGAACCCUUAUGUUUCUAUGCAAUAAACCCGCCGUCCUCGGUAGUAGGCAAAACUUGCAAUAGGGUCCAUGGACUUUUUAAAUAUACCCCUAGAAACCUUUACAGAGUUAAAAUAAAUAAUUAGGAAACCUCGAAACUUGUUUAUGGCAUAACUUACUCGUUUUAAAUCCGUUUUACUCCGUUCUAGUUGCGUUAGCUUCAUAAAAACAUUCUCUACGUAAUAAAAACCUUAAUCAUACCAUAUCUCAUACUUUUAUAGUUAGAUAUUCAUUUAACCUAUGUUUAGUAGAUUAACCUCUCUAAAUCAAAGUUAAUCUGUUUAUAAUUAUAGUUUGGCUAAAAUAUGAUCCCUAAUUAUAUUAUGAUUUAACUUAAAGGUGAAUUAAUUAUUCAUUUAGGUUAUUUUCUCACAUGAUCUAUUAAAUCAACAUAAGGUCUAGUUUUAAGUGCUUAAAUUAGGUGGAUCUUCGGAAAAUCAUAACUCGGUAAACGUAGCUCCAAAUUUAGUAAUUCUUGUUCCCACGAUCUUGUAGCAACGUGUAGACUAUUAUUACGCAGUUUUUGCUUAUGUUUCGUGUAAUGUUAAUUUUUUUCUAUACCAUUUUUGUUUGUAUUGAUACAUUUAGCCGUGAGGACACGUGUCAUCUGAAGAGCAAGUUGGUACCUGACAUCUCAAGUCCCAGGCAAGUUGUGCCCUUGAUCACUUCUUUUUACCCAGUCAUGUUCUGAUUAAUCAUAAUGAUCUGCAUAGGUUAAUUUUGAUGGGACCCAACAGGUUACCCUAGUUUGAUUAUCUUUAUACCUUGACUCCACUAAACUUUUUGGGUAGUACCUGCUAUUGCUUUACGUGGUUUUGGGUAUGAAAAUUACACUAUUCAUGAUUAUACUUUUGUUAUCAGUUGUUAUUUAUUGUUCAUGUUAAGAUCAUUAUGUUAAUUGGAACAUGGAGAACCACCCGGGAAAACAGUGCUACCACAAGGGUUUAUGGACGCCCUUGGCUGAUUAAUUAGGAAAGCUAGUGGAUGACUACCUUACCUGAAAGGGGCAAGGGCAGUAGGGGAGUGGUCAGUGUAGGGAGGCCCUUAGGAUGAUUUUGCUGCGAUGGAGGUCAUGCGAGGGAUUCCUGCAUUGGAGCUUCCUAUAAACUGUAGCGGGUUUUCUGAAGCUAGUGGAACUUUGUAAAGGCCUCGUAGUGUUACCCUGCCUCGCCUCCUCGGUAGAGGUGUAUGGGAUUGGCCGUCUCUUGGCAGAUGGGUAACAUGACUUUUGGGUAAAGAUGUGCAACCUCUGCAGAGUGUAAAACUGGUAUACUAGCCGUGCUCACGGUCAUGAGCAACUCGGACACUCACAUGAUUAAAUUAUGGAACUUAAACUCAAAUUGUCAUAUGCAUUGCAUCGCAGGUGAGGUUGUUACUUUUGUUCUACUACUUAAUUGGGUUGGUAUUCACUUAUACUUAGUAACUGCUAAUAAAAUUUUGACCAACUUUAAAAGCAAUGCUCAGCUUCAACCAUCCUCUUUGGUAAGCCUUACACUUCACGUGAGCUCCCACCUUUGGCGAGUUCAUGCACAUUAUUCCCCACAACUUGUUGAGCGAUGAACGUAUGUGAGCUCACUCUUGCUGUCUCACACCCCCCCCACAGGUCAAGAACAGGUACCGCAGGAUGAGGCGCAUGGAGGAUGUUGUGACGAGUUCGUGAGAGGUCUAGGUCGUCGUCUCCCAGUCAACUUUGGGUUGCUGGACCGUUGUCUCCUUAUAAUGUAAUUAUUUAUGCAUUUAUUUUGUACAAAACUCCUGUUAUGUAGUAAAGAUGUGACAUUCGAUCCUGUGCCAUGAUUCAUCAUAUGUGUGAGACUUGGUCCCAGCACACCUGGUGAUUAUGUUCGCGCCCGGGUCUUGGUACCCCGAAACCCGGGUGUGACAAAUGUUUCAAUCAAAGUUCAGAGAAUUAAGUAUAUUUAGCUCAUUCCUAAGUUUGCUAAAAGUUUUCUCAUCUAGUGGCUAGGUAAAAAUAUUGGCUAAUUGGUUGUGGGUGCUCAUAUAAGC